rnacentral:piRNA from 1 species
AAGAGGCUGAGGAAGGAGAAGAUG